AGCAGCCGCGGUAAUUCCAGCUCCAAUAGCGUAUAUUAAAGUUGUUGCAGUUAAAAAGCUCGUAGUUGAAUUUCGGGAUCAAUUUAUUGGUCGUGUUAUUGUACGUACUGGUAUUAUUGAUUCCUACCUUCUGACGAACCACGAUGUCAUUAAUUUGGUGUCAUGGGGAAUCAGGACUGUUACUUUGAAAAAAUUAGAGUGUUUAAAGCAGGCUCACGCUUGAAUACAUUAGCAUGGAAUAACGAAAUAGGACGUUUGAUUCUAUUUUGUUGGUUUCUAGGAUCGACGUAAUGAUUAAUAGGGAUAGUUGGGGGCAUUAGUAUUCAAUUGUCAGAGGUGAAAUUCUUGGAUUUAUUGAAGACUAACUACUGCGAAAGCAUUUGCCAAGGAUGUUUUCAUUAAUCAAGAACGAAAGUUAGGGGAUCGAAGACGAUCAGAUACCGUCGUAGUCUUAACCAUAAACUAUGCCGACUAGGGAUCGGAUGAUGUUAAUUUUUAAUGACUCAUUCGGCGCCUUACG
rnacentral:rRNA from 1 species